CAACAACAGGCCUUUUUGACAAACACACACACCCCCACUAUUACGAAGAGUGUGGCGAGGUUGCCGGCAUCUUCGCCAAGAACCCCUUUGCAGGACAAUGAUAGACACACACACACACCACACCACCGUGUUCGGCAUCCUGCACAGGAACCGACGCCUUUUAAGACAGAAGUUCAAGUCAAGGGCUUCCUGUUUCAUGCUGUCGUCUGCAUUCAAGUUAUUCAUAAACAAGGGACGGUACCUUGCCACUGGACAACCAACAGACCUCCACGUGAAACAUCCGCCCAUCCGUUUUCCAAGCUGCUUAUCCUCACAAGUCUCUCUACACGGGCGGAUUUUCAUCCACCGGGGAAAACGAGGGAUUCCCGUCCGACCAUUCCACCGGCCGCACUUGUCACCCCCCGUUAGCGUCAAGUCCUCCUUCAGGGCCGCAAGCUUUUGGCCCGGAAGUGCGACUCUCACAUCUGUUCCGUCCAAUUUUCCCCGGCCCAUCGGCGACGGCCCGCUGGGUUUGACCUCGAGGUGACGGCGACGAGCCAAAACGGUGAAGCCGGGUCGCCGUGAUUGACGGCAUCGUCGCCUCGGCCACGUGGCGGCGCGAGCGGCGCCUUACGCUGCACCGCGUGGAGGAAAAAGAAGGCCGCAGCGCUUCCUCGGUGCAGCCGAGAUUGCAUCAGCGGAGGCUGAUUGGAGCUGAUGGCAAUCUCAAGGUUGCGCGAACAGGAAGUGGACUUUAUUAUUAUUAUUAUUUUAUCAGCGCUUUUUUCGCUCGGCCGAUGUGAUUGUUUUCCGAGGCAUCUGAAUCUGCAAUCGUGUCCGUUUGCAUUUGGAGAAAUAUGGCAAAAAACGGCAAAAGGUUCACGAUUAGGCGAGCGCAAACUAUAUGAGAUCUGUGAAAAGCUGGGCCUUCUUUAAAAAAUAUUUUAAAAUUGGAUAAUAAUAAAAUAGAUAAUAAUAAUAAUAACAAUAAUAAUUAUAAAAAUAGAAAAAGAGGUGACAAUAGGAGACCAUUAAAAUUUCCUCCAAUUUGAAAAAUUGUUCAUUUAAUUUUAUUAACACUACUGCUAUUAUUACUAAUAAUAUGUUGAUUAUUUCAUGAAGUUUACAUUUUUGAUCAUGUUACUUCUGUUCAGUAUGGGUGAAAAUGAUGAUGGAUUGAUUCCAAGCAGGUUACAUGGCAAAAAAUAUAAUUAUAUAAAACAAGUUAAAAAAUAAAAUAAUAUUUUUGGGGGAAUUAUGCAUUAAAAUUGUAACUAUUUUAAUAACAGUUAAAUUAAAUGACAAAAUGUAUAUGCAAUAAUAACGAUAAAAUGAAAUAGUAUUUUUUUAAUAAACCAUUAGAAUUGUAACUAAAUUAAUAACAAUUAGAUUAAAUUACAGGAUGUAUAUGCAAUAAAUAAGAUAAAAUUAAAUAAUAUUUUUGGAAUAAACCAUUACAAUUGUAACUAUCUUAACAAUUAAAUAAAAUUACAAAAUGUAUGUACAAUCAAUAAGAUAAAACGAUUAGCAAAAAUAAUGCAAAAAUUGUCAUCAAAUUGUUAUUAUUUUCUAAAAUUAUUUCUCUUAUCAUUAACAGCUGCUUCCUAUAUUUUGGUUAUUUAGCCACAUGAGCUUUCAGUAUAACUCAUUGCAAUAGUCAACAAGUACCACCCUUGAAAAGCUGUUACAUAAAUCCGAUGUCUACAUUUUGAAUUAGCAUCAUAUCCAACUCUAAUAAUAAUGAAGCCAGUGCUCAAUGACUAGCUCUUGCUCGACAGAGCCAAUCAAACAUUUUGCCGGGCUUUAUUGGCCGCUCGCAGCGACAGGACGCGCAUGCGCGUGCUGCUCCCGAGCGCGUCGCAGCUCGCGGCGGUGAUUGACGAGCAUCUGCGAGCGUGCAGCCGCCGGGUGACUGAUCAGUAAAUUUCCUGUUCCUGCUGCCGCUGCCUCAGCGAGUCUCAGCGCGUGGAUCACUUUGGCAGGCGGGUGGGAAAAAAAAAAAAAAAAAAAAAAAAGCCAACUCAUGAGAGCGAGAGCGCAACAACACAGCAGCAAAUACCUUGGACUGCUCAGUCCUUUGACUCGGAAGGCCUUGUGGCCUGGACUCGGGUGCAGCGAGAGUACGCGGGAAGGUUGCAGGUUCACCUGCAAGUGCAGUACAGCGGCGAACUCGACAGGGGCUUUGGAACACUGGCGUGGAUUUUGAAAAGAACUGUUGAAAUGAUCCAAAUUUUAUUCCGGCUUCGUUUGGGACCUCUGGCGACCCUGCCAGCGGGCAUAAAAGCCCCAAACGACUCAGUCCCUAGGACCGGUGGUGCGGGCAACGACCCCUCCACCACGAUAAGGUUCCGGUUCAAGAAGGAUUCCGUUCAUCUCAGGAAUAUGCCUUUAAAAAAGAAAAAUGACAUAGAAGGAUUUCCGUGGAAAAAAAAAAAAUUGAACUUAAAAAAAAAAAAUACAUUUUACCAAAAAAAAAAAAAAGCAGUAAUAAUAAUCAGUCAUCAGUAAUAAUCAGUUUUUAAAACUUGAAAAUAUAUAUGACUGUUUUGGAAAUGUAAUACUUUUAAUGUACAAGGUCCAAUUUAAAAAAAAAAAAAACCUUUGAUCUAAAACAACAUCCGACUACUGUAAUUUGUAACAUCUGAAUUUUUCACUCCAUUUCACAAUUUUUUUUUAACCCCAAAUUAUAAUUUUUUUUAAUUUUAACUUUUGUCAAAAAAAUAGAACUCCUUUCUUGAAAACAAAUUAUAUAAAUGUCACAAUAUUAUGAUUUUAAUUACAAUAAAAAAAAAAUCCACUUUUUUCCACCACAAAUGUACAUUUUCUGAAAGGUUAUGACUUCAGUCCUGUAGCAUGUUAUUUUUUUUUUUAAAACAUUGUAUUUACAGUGUUUAAUAUUUCAUCUGUCAAAUACUCCACCUAUUUUUUUGGACACCGAAACACACACAGGUGUCAAACUGAAGGCCCGGGGUCCAGAUCCGGCUCGACGCAUGGUUUUAGUGACCCACGAAAACAAAUCUUCUGUGUCAACUUCGGUGAUUUAUUCUAAAAAUUUGUACCAAAAUGUCAGAUUGUCACAUCAUAAAUGAUAACAUUGAGAUAUUGCAAGCAUUUUUGUGUGACCAAACAAAAUAGUUGAAAAAUUACCCAUUACCCUUGAUUUGUGAUUCCAAAACUACUUCAUAAAUUUCCUGUGUAAAUAUGAUGAGGCAGUUAACGAUUGUUAUGUUUUCACAGGAGUGGCACGGUGGAUCAGCUGGUAAGGUGUUUGCCUCACAGAUCUGAAGUCCCGGGUUCAAUCCCGGACCCGCCUGUGUGGAGUUUGCAUGUUCUCCCCGUGGCUGUGUGGGUUUCCUCUGGGCACUCGGGUUUCCUCCCACAUUCCAAAAACACGCAACAUUCAUUGGACACUCUAAACUGCCCCAAGGUGUGAUUGUGAGUGCGACUGUUGUCUGUUUCCUUGUGCCCUGCAAUUGGCUGGCAACCAGUUCAAGGAGUACCCCGCCUCCUGCCCGUUGACGGCUGGGAUAGGCUCCAGCACUCCCCGUGACCCUCGUGAGGAUAAGUGGUGAAGAAAAUGGAUAAAGAAUAAUAUACAAGGUCUGAUUUUAAAAAAAGCUUUCGAUCUAAAACCACAUACGUUUUUCUGUAAUUUGUAACAUCUGAAUUUUUCUCUAGAUUUCAUUUUUUUACCCCAUAAUAUUAAUUUGUUAACUUUUGUCUAAAAAUAUGACUCAUUUAUUGAAAAUGUAUUAAAUAAAUGUCACAAUAUUAUGACUUUAAUUAAAAUUAAAAAAUCCACUUUUUUCCACCACAUGUGUACGUUUUCUGUCAGGUUAUGACUUCAUUUUUUUUUUUUACGGUGUGGCCUUAAUAUUUAAUCUGUCAAACACUCCACACUUUUUUUUUUUUUUUUGGACACCCUAACACACAGGUGUCAAACUCAAGGCCCGGGGGCCAGAUCCGCCCCGCCGCGUGGUUUUAGUGGCCCGUGAAGGCAAAUCUUCUGUGUCGUCUAUGAUUUGUUGUUAAAAUUUGUACCAAAAUUUCACAUUGUCACAUCAUAAAUGAUAACACUGAGAUAUUGCAAGCAGUUUUGUGUUACCAAACAAAAAUAGUUAAAAAAUUACCCAUUACCCUUGAUUUGUGAUACCAAAACUACUUAAUACAUUUCAUGGGUGAAUAUGAUGAGCCGGUUAAAGAUUGUUAUGGUUUCACAGUCAUAAAGGCCACUGAGGGAAUCUAACAACAAAAAAUGACUUUGACACCCAGGGUGCUAAAAACUUAGCUAAGCUAAAAAUUUCGGGCAUGACAAAAAAAAAAAAAUCUUUUGCGUCUUUGUACGGUGGCUGUUGGUGACUAAUUGUGUUUUCUGCGAAAUGAAACCGCGAGCCAGUGCGAGGCUUGUCCAAUCGGGAAGCCCGGAGGGCCCCCCCCCCCUACCCCCUCUUUUCGAGAGCCGGAUUGAAAAAGAAAAUUUUUUUUUUCUCCCUUCCCUCGGCUCCGCUCCGUCCCCUCGCUCGCCGCGUAAAGCCUCCCGGCGUGGACGGCGCGAGCUCGCCACAAUGGCUUCCCCCGCGCGCUAACGUGAUUACAUUGACGCGGUGGAAUGGAGCCAGAAGGAAGUCGGCGGCCUCCCCGCUGAGUGGCUGCGCUUUUGCCAGUCAAUAAUAAACACGCCGCAUUUUCUCUUUUAUCGAUCAGCAGGUGAUGCCGGGACAUCAUUAUCACAUUGCUUUUCUGUCCAUAGGAUCCCGCCUUUGAUUUCCUUGCACACCCUUGAGAGCAUACCGGUACCGUAGUGCCUUGGUGCCUUGAGAUACGAGCUAUCCAUCCAUUUCCCUGGCCGCUUAUCCUCACAAGGGUUGCGGGAGUGGCGGAGCCUGUCGCGGCUGUCAACGGCCACGGAGGCGGGGUACACCCCGAACUGGUUGCCAGGCAAUCGCUGGGCACAUCGAGACAAUCGGUCGCACUCACAAUCACGCCGAGGGGCAGUUUGGGGUGUCCAAUUUAUGUUGCACGGUUUUGGGGAUGUGGGAGAAAACGGAGAAAUAGUUGAGACCACUCUGUAGAACUCUCUUGGACAAGUCUGACGCAUUUGGCAAAAAAAAUAAAUAAAAAAAAAAAACCCCGAUAUUAUCUGGCGUACGCGAUAGAUAAUCGACUUGUUGUGUUCAGUCGCCAUUUUGGAAGCUCGUGGGACAUGGCGAAGGGGGGGCGGAGCUUGAGAUCGCCAUCGGAAAGGUCCGUUAGAGAAAAAGAGGCAUCGCGCUGUUCAACGCCUCUCCCAGUUCAGGUUGAUUGACAUAACUGAGGAUAAUUUCCCUUUAUGUAUUCCAGUAACUGAUGGAUGGAUGCUAAAUUGAUAAUAAUUUGUUCGUGUUGAAUAAAUGAACUAUUGUGGACACGUAGAGCAGGGGUGCCAAUCUCAUUUUUUAUGCUUUCCCUCUGAAGGCCAUUAUGACUGUAAAAGCAGAUGCAUGUAUACAUCAUCGUCUCAUAUUUUUACAAAUGUGCUACAAAUGGAUGGAUACUGAUUUUGAAAUCAGAGGCUAAUAAAUUAAUUGUUGUAAAAGAUUGUUUGGUAAUAAAAUAUGGUUGCCGUAUCUUUUUUUUAACAUGACCAAUGCGGAUGAUUUGCUUUCGCAGGCCUCAUAAAAUGAUGUGGCGGGCCGAAUCUGGCCCCCGGGCCUUGAGUUUGACACCUGUGCUCUCUCCUUCUGCUGUAAGUGGUUUGCUGCCAUCUAGUGGCGGUGGAUCCGAACCUCGCUCACAUUCUAGUGUACUUCCAAGUUAUGGUACCGGUGUGUUGUUUUUUUACGUUCGCCAUUCAAAAGGAAUUUUUUUUUCAUAAAAUAUUUUCUCUUUUGCCGAGUAAAUGCAAAGCGGUCAUUGUGCAAACAUAGCCUUUGCGCGUGGAAACAAACGACCCCCCCCCCCCCCUUCGGCGCGACCUCGACUCGUCAUCGUAAUUAACAAAUAACCUUUAACGAGGCGUCGGCCCGAGCGCGGAAACGCCGCAUUAAAUCGGACCGUCGCGUACGAAAGGCGCGUUCACACAUUUGAGCGGCGUUAAGUGCUAAAUGUGUCGCGUCUUAAAUGUCACCUGACCGUAUAAUGGUGGGGGGGGGGGGGUUACCACGCCGACGUGCUCUUUGGCCACGGGGAAAGAUCACGCCGUCGUUAAGCGUCGCCCCCACACGCUGACAAAUGCAUUUGAUCAUCUGUGGGCAGCUGCAAUUAAACACAUUUGGCAUCCGCGCCACUGAUAUGUAACUAUCACCCCCCCCCCCACCCAAAAGAAAAUGUCAAGUUAUUUUUAAAGGGGGCGGAUUAUGUAAAAUUUACUUUUUAAGUGGUUUUGUACAAAUAGUUGUCGGGAAUACUUGAACAUCCGUCAAAGGAGCAAUUAAAAAAAAAAAAAAAAAGUAAAUCUUUUGUGCUGCUUGAAAUGAUUGCCACUACACUUUUCCCACAUUUAAUGUUAAGGUCUUAUUUCAAAAUGAAAUCCAUUUUUUUCCCCUCCCAAAUUCUACAGACAACAUCUCAUAAUAAUGUGCAAAUUACAAAUAAGGGUAGAUCAUUUUAAAAACAUUUUGCACCAUGAACGUGCCAUAUCACUUGUGCAAUGCAAUGAAAAAGUCUUCUUGAGUGGGUAAGUAAAUAUAAACAACAUAAUAAUGUGAUUGCAUAAGUGUGCACACCCUGUUAUUACUGUGGAUGUGGCUGUUUAGGAUUAACUGAUCACAUUCAAACGCAAGUCAAAUGGGAGUCACUACACACCUGCCACCAAUUCAAGUUGCAUAAGUGUGCACACCCUGUUAUUAUUCUGGAUGUGGCUGUUUACAAUUAACCAAUCAUAUUCGAAUGCAAGUUAAAUGGGAGUCACGACACACCUGCCACCAAUUCAAGUGCCUCUCAUUAACCACAAAUGAAAUUCCACUGUUCCGCUUGGGCUUUUUUUUUGGGGUUGGGUUCUAGCUGCAGUAUGAAGGAUUUGUACCAACACUGACUGCUCUUUAGAAACGUUAAUAAUUGCCUCCACAUUGCCUCAAAGACGCAAUUAGAGCUGAUGGGAAAACAGCAUCAACGCAUGACGCUGCCACCAACAUGCUUCAAUAAUUUGCAUCAUGUUCUUUUGGUGAUGAGCAGUGUUGUGCUUGCACCAAACAUACAUUUUGAAAUUAUGACCAAAAGGUUUGGUUUUGUUGAACCAUAGCAUAAGUUCCCUGCAUGCGUUUGGGACAUUUCAUGUGAGUUUUCACAAAAUGUAUCCAGGCUUGCAUGAUUUUCCUUGUAAUUUAAGGCUAACCUGACUCUAUAACCCAGAGAUAAAAAAAAGAAAAAAAAAUCCAAUAUUUUCGAGAAAUUCCUGCAGCUGCUUCCAUAUUGCAUUUGCCCUUUCCGCAGCCUCCCCGAUGAGGCACAUCCUCAGUUAUAAGAGGAUGUGUACACUUAUGCAAACAAAUGAUCUCGCUUUUUCAUUUUGUUGACUUCCUCUGUCAUAAACAAAAUUCCAUUGAGUAUUACAGAUUAUACUGUGGGCCACAUUAAUGUUUUGAAAACUUUUAGAAUCCUUAAUCUUAGUCUCAAGGAGUCACUGAUGGUGUAGUCGUACGCACGCCUGACUUCGGUGCGGGCAGCGUGGGAUCGAUCCCGGCUCAGUGAUGGUGUCGAUAUCUUCCCUGCGACUGACUGGCGACCAGUUCAGGGAGUACCCCGCCUCCUGCCCACUGACAGCUGGGAUAGGCUCCGGCACUCCCGGUGACCCUCGUGAGGAUAAGUGGUGAAGAAAAUGGAUAAAGAAUAAUAUACAAGGUCUGAUUUUAAAAAAAGCUUUCGAUCUAAAACCACAUAUGUUUUUCUGUAAUUUGUAACAUCUGAAUUUUUCUCUAGAUUUCAUUUUUUU